UACGUAGGGUGCGAGCGUUAAUCGGAAUUACUGGGCGUAAAGCGUGCGCAGGCGGUCUGUUAAGACCGAUGUGAAAUCCCCGGGCUUAACCUGGGAACUGCAUUGGUGACUGGCAGGCUUUGAGUGUGGCAGAGGGAGGUAGAAUUCCACGUGUAGCAGUGAAAUGCGUAGAGAUGUGGAGGAAUACCGAUGGCGAAGGCAGCCUCCUGGGCCAACACUGACGCUGAGGCGCGAAAGCCAGGGGAGCAAACGGG
rnacentral:rRNA from 1 species